rnacentral:rRNA from 1 species
GAUGAACGCUGGCGGCGUGCCUAAUACAUGCGAGUCGAGCGAACAGACGAGGAGCUUGCUCCUCUGACGUUAGCGGCGGACGGGUGAGUAACACGUGGAUAACCUACCUAUAAGACUGGGAUAACUUCGGGAAACCGGAGCUAAUACCGGAUAAUAUAUUGAACCGCAUGGUUCAAUAGUGAAAGACGGUUUUGCUGUCACUUACAGAUGGAUCCGCGCCGCAUUAGCUAGUUGGUAAGGUAACGGCUUACCAAGGCAACGAUGCGUAGCCGACCUGAGAGGGUGAUCGGCCACACUGGAACUGAGACACGGUCCAGACUCCUACGGGAGGCAGCAGUAGGGAAUCUUCCGCAAUGGGCGAAAGCUUGACGGAGCAACGCCGCGUGAGUGAUGAAGGUCUUCGGAUCGUAAAACUCUGUUAUUAGGGAAGAACAAAUGUGUAAGUAACUAUGCACGUCCUGACGGUACCUAAUCAGAAAGCCACGGCUAACUACGUG